rnacentral:rRNA from 1 species
UACGAAGGGGGCUAGCGUUGCUCGGAAUCACUGGGCGUAAAGCGCACGUAGGCGGCUUUCUAAGUCAGGGGUGAAAUCCUGGAGCUCAAACUCCAGAACUGCCUUUGAUACUGGAGAGCUUGAGUCCGGGAGAGGUGAGUGGAACUCCGAGUGUAGAGGUGAAAUUCGUAGAUAUUCGGAAGAACACCAGUGGCGAAGGCGGCUCACUGGUCCGGUACUGACGCUGAGGUGCGAAAGCGUGGGGAGCAAACAGG